UGCCGCCCUGUCUUCCUCAGCGCCACCUCUGAGCACAGGUGGAACUGGUCCAAAUGUCGGCAAUGAUUGUGGAAGUGGAGGAUGAGCAAAUUCUUCAGUUGAAAUCU